rnacentral:lncRNA from 1 species
ACACACUCCACUUUGAAGAGACAAGCCACUGGAAUUGGGCUCUGCUUCUGCAAGCCUGGCAUUCUCCACCCCUGCCUGGUGGAGCUUGGCUCAGGCUUCCAUCCAAGACAGAAGCAAUUGAUUCUUAAAGAAGGGCUAAUAUUCCCAGGAUUUUAAACAGCGGCAAAACUCAUUGGUGAAGGAUACAGCUCUGGGUUCUUUUCCAGUUGCGGUAAGCGGCUCUAUUCUUGGUUGACAGGCCUUUUGUAAUCUGUAUGUGACUUAAAUCCGGAAAUGAAAUAUAAAAUGAAGCCCUUGUUAUGGGCACAGAGGAAACAGUAU